ACAGCCACAUCACGUCCAAACACCGGUCUCCGUACGAUCACCGAAGUUAAACAACGUCGAGCCUGGUCAGUACCUAGAUGGGUGACCGCUUGGGAAUAACAGGUACUGUAAG